rnacentral:rRNA from 1 species
UAGCGUAGGGCGCAAGCGUUGUCCGGAAUUAUUGGGCGUAAAGAGCUCGUAGGUGGCUGGUCACGUCUGCCGUGAAAGAUCCGGGCUUAACUCGGGUUCUGCGGUGGAUACGGGCCGGCUUGAGGUAGGUAGGGGCAAGCGGAAUUCCUGGUGUAGCGGUGAAAUGCGCAGAUAUCAGGAGGAACACCGGUGGCGAAGGCGGCUUGCUGGGCCUUACCUGACGCUGAGGAGCGAAAAGCGUGGGGAGCAACAGG